rnacentral:lncRNA from 1 species
AUGCCCAUCACUGCCUCAUUAUGCCCAUCACCGCUUCAUUAUGCCCAUUGCUGCCCAUCACUGCCUCGUUAUGACCAUUACUGCUUGUUAUGUCCAUCAUUCCUCGUUAUGCCCAUCACUGCCUUGUUAUGCC